rnacentral:rRNA from 1 species
UACGUAGGGUGCUAGCGUUGUCCGGAAUCACUGGGCGUAAAGCGCGCGUAGGCGGCCCGGUAAGUCCGCUGUGAAAGUCAAAGGCUCAACCUUUGAAGGUCAGUGGAUACUGCCGGGCUAGAGUCCGGAAGAGGCGAGUGGAACUCCUGGUGUAGCGGUGAAAUGCGCAGAUAUCAGGAGGAACACCGGUGGCGAAGGCGGGUCGCUGGGCCGAAAUUGACGCUGAGGAGCGAAAGCGUGGGGAGCAAACAGG